rnacentral:rRNA from 1 species
UCCUACGGGAGGCAGCGGUGGGGAAUAUUGCACAAUGGGCGAAAGCCUGAUGCAGCAACGCCGCGUGAAGGAAGAAGGUCUUCGGAUCGUAAACUUCUGUCCUUGGGGAAGAUAAUGACGGUACCCUUGGAGGAAGCCCCGGCUAACUACGUGCCAGCAGCCGCGGUAAUACGUAGGGAGCGAGCGUUGUCCGGAUUUACUGGGUGUAAAGGGUGCGUAGGCGGGUAAGCAAGUCAGAAGUGAAAUCCAUGGGCUUAACCCAUGAACUGCUUUUGAAA